AGCAGUCGCCGCGGUAAUACGUAGGGGGCAAGCGUUAUCCGGAAUAACUGGGCGUAAAGGGUGCGCAGGUGGUUUAACAAGUUAGUGGUGAAAGGCAUAGGCUCAACCAAUGUAAGCCAUUAAAACUGUUUAACUUGAGUGCAGGAGAGGAAAGUGGAAUUCCUAGUGUGGCGGUGAAAUGCGUAGAUAUUAGGAGGAAUACCAGUGGCGAAGGCGGCUUUUUGGCCUGUAACUGACACUGAGGCGCGAAAGCGUGGGGAGCAAACAGGAUUAGAUACCCCGGUAGUCCCUGUCUCUUAUACA
rnacentral:rRNA from 1 species